GUACGGCCCAGCACGUGAAAUUGGGUCGGAAUCUGGGAGGACCAUCUCCCAAGGCUAAAUACUAACUAGUGACCGAUAGCGAACAAGUACCGUGAGGGAAAGGUGAAAAGAACCCCGGAAGGGGAGUGAAAUAGUUCUUGAAACCGUGUGCUUACAAGAAGUUCGAGGCCGUUAAUGGCUGAGAGCGUGCUUUUUGUAGAAUGAACCGGAGAGUUACGAUUGCGUGCAAGGUUAAGGUGCAAAGACUGGAGCCGUAGCGAAAGCGAGUCUUAAUAGGGCGAAUCAGUACGUAGUUGUAGACCCGAAACCGAGUGACCUAUCCAUGGUCAGGUUGAAGGUGGGGUAAUACCUACUGGAG
rnacentral:rRNA from 1 species